rnacentral:rRNA from 1 species
UACGUAGGGGGCAAGCGUUGUCCGGAUUUAUUGGGCGUAAAGAGCGUGUAGGCGGUUUGGUAGGUCCGCUGUGAAAACUCGAGGCUCAACCUCGAGAUGCCGAUGGAAACCAUUUGGCUAGAGUCCGGAAGAGGAGAGUGGAAUUCCUGGUGUAGCGGUGAAAUGCGCAGAUAUCAGGAAGAACACCCGUGGCGAAGGCGGCUCUCUGGGACGGUACUGACGCUGAGACGCGAAAGCGUGGGGAGCGAACAGG